rnacentral:rRNA from 1 species
AGGGUUUGAUCAUGGCUCAGAACGUACGCUGGCGGCACGCCUAACACAUGCAAGUCGAGCGAGGUAGCAAUACCUAGCGGCAGACGGGUGCGUAACAUGUGGGAAUCUGCCUUUUGGUUCGGAAUAACACGGGGAAACCUGUGCUAAUACCGGAUAAGUCCUUACGGAGAAAGUUUUAAUGCCAAAAGAUGAGCCCGCAUUUGAUUAGUUUGUUGGUGAGGUAAUGGCUCACCAAGACUACAAUCAAUAGCUGAUUUGAGAGGAUGAUCAGCCACACUGGGACUGAGAUACGGCCCAGACUCCUACGGGAGGCAGCAGUGGGGAAUCUUGCACAAUGGGCGAAAGCCUGAUGCAGCGAUGCCGCGUGAGUGAAGAAGGCCCUUGGGUUGUAAAGCUCUUUCGUCGGGGAAGAAAAUGACUGUACCCGAAUAAGAAGGUCCGGCUAACUUCGUGCCAGCAGCCGCGGUAAUACGAAGGGACCUAGCGUAGUUCGGAAUUACUGGGCUUAAAGAGUUCGUAGGUGGUUGAAAAAGUUAGUGGUGAAAUCCCAGAGCUUAACUCUGGAACUGCCAUUAAAACUUUUCAGCUAGAGUAUGAUAGAGGAAAGCAGAAUUUCUAGUGUAGAGGUGAAAUUCGUAGAUAUUAGAAAGAAUACCAAUUGCGAAGGCAGCUUUCUGGAUCAUUACUGACACUGAGGAACGAAAGCAUGGGUAGCGAAGAGGAUUAGAUACCCUCGUAGUCCAUGCCGUAAACGAUGUGUGUUAGACGUUGGAAAUUUAUUUUCAGUGUCGCAGCGAAAGCGAUAAACACACCGCCUGGGGAGUACGACCGCAAGGUUAAAACUCAAAUGAAUUGACGGGGACCCGCACAAGUAGUGGAGCAUGUGGUUUAAUUCGAAGAUACGCGCAGAACCUUACCAACACUUGACAUGUUCGUCGCGACUCUAAGAGAUUAGAGUUUUCGGUUCGGCCGGACGAAACACAGGUGCUGCAUGGCUGUCGUCAGCUCGUGUCGUGAGAUGUUGGGUUAAGUCCCGCAACGAGCGCAACCCUCACUUUUAGUUGCCAUCAUUAAGUUGGGCACUCUGAAAGAACUGCCAGUGAUAAGCUGGAGGAAGGUGGGGAUGACGUCAAGUCCUCAUGGCCCUUACGUGUUGGGCUACACACGUGCUACAAUGGUAUCUACAACAGGAAGCAAGACUGCGAGGUCAAGCAAAUCCUUAAAAGAUACCUCAGUUCGGAUUGCACUCUGCAACUCGAGUGCAUGAAGCUGGAAUUACUAGUAAUCGUGGAUCAGCGUGACACGGUGAAUGCGUUCCCGGGUCUUGUACACACCGCCCGUCACACCAUGGGAGUUGGUUCUACCUUAAGGCAAGGUUUCAAACCCUUGACCACGGUAUAGUCAGCGACUGGGGUGAAGUCAUAACAAGGUAGCCGUA